CUGGUGGAAGCCCGCAGCGAUA
rnacentral:snRNA from 1 species